rnacentral:rRNA from 1 species
UACGUAGGGGGCAAGCGUUGUCCGGAAUCAUUGGGCGUAAAGAGCGUGUAGGCGGCCCGGUAAGUCCGCCGUGAAAGUCCAGGGCUCAACCCUGGAAUGCCGGUGGAAACUGCCGGGCUGGAGUCCGGAAGAGGCGAGUGGAAUUCCUGGUGUAGCGGUGAAAUGCGCAGAUAUCAGGAGGAACACCAAUGGCGAAGGCAGCUCGCUGGGACGGUACUGACGCUGAGGCGCGAAAGCGUGGGGAGCAAACAGG